GUGUGUGUGUGUGUGCAGGGGGAUGGGGGAGAUAAAGGUAUGUUCCAACUCAGGCCUUGACUCUACUCUGUGUUCCUCCAGGUCCUGAUGUCCCUCUGCCUUCCUCCCUUAGGCCCUGGCUGGUCCUUGCCUUCUAGAUGAGAGUGGGACAUUGUCUGUGGUGUUUGAUUUACCGUGUCUCUGCCCUGGCUGAGUUAGGUUGCCAAUGGGAAGCCAAGGUUGGGUCGCCAUCCAACCCCAUCGUUCCCUAGCCAGGCCAUGCAUCUCUGUCAGCCACUGUCCAACCACAACGCUUUAACAUUUGGAAUGUGUCCUGGGGACCUUCACUGACUCUUAGCUCUGCUGUCUUUGUCUUGUCUGCUGGCCCUAUCCUGGUAAGGGAGGUCUGAGGGGUGCUGCUGUUGCUGGCCUGCAGGCCUGUCUAGUCCCUCUUCUCUCUGUGGCCAGGCAUGGAGUUGCCAAAACUUGGUCACAUUUGCCUCACCCAUCUCUGUGGUCUGUUGGCAUUUGUUGCCUCCGUUUUGGCUGGCUACUCUGAUGCAUUUGCCAUGGCUCUUGGUGUCACCAACCCUGAAUAAACUCUCCCUAGAGCCAAUGUAUGGCCAAGGGCACAAAGUCGGUAGCUGUCUCCCGUGCGGGCCCUUCUCAACCAGAGACCUGUGUGGUGUUUGUCAACCUAGGUCUCAACAUAAAAAGCCUACAUUUUCUGAAAGAGAUGAAUUUCUUCCUUUUGAAUAUCUUUGAUCCAAGUUUUGUUAAGUCCAUGAGUGUAGAACCUACAGAUAUUCAGGGGCUGACUGAACAGACAAGUAGCUAAAGAAUGUGGCUUAUGUUGAGGAAGAAAGGUAGUGAUCUUACAGGAGAUGCUCUUGACCAACGGAGAGAGGGCUAAUGGCAUCCACAGCAGGUCACAUAGACAUCACACCUCUCCUGAUAGGAUACAACAAGAAGGGCUCUUCUGCCUUUGUGAUAUUUUCUUCCCUACUCACCUUAGUCUGGUCAUUUGAAAACAUCAGGACCAUUACAGGAUGUUUGCCCAGGAAUCCUCAAGAGGGCCAAGGUCAUCAAAAGACAAGGAAUCACCAAAAGACUGUCUUAGAUUGGAAGAGAUCCAGGAGACUUUACCUCAGAGGCAGCGUGGUGUUAGGGUACACUGUGUGAAGGUACCAUCUCUGUGUUGCCAAUUGUUGAUUGCUGUACCAGCAGAGAGCUAAGUCCUAGCCAGAUCUUGGUAUUGUUGUUCCUAUGGCCCAUUACUGGCCUCAGAUUUUGUAAGCAUUCAUCCUUGCUGAUUGGCUAUAAUAAAGAUCCGAUGGCCAAUAGCUGAAACAGGAAGGGAGGGCAGAACUUCCAGGCAGAGACUGGGACUUCCAGAGAAGAAUUGAGAAGUGGAAUUCACCAGUGGGAUGUGGAGGUGUUUGGGCCUAAGCAGUGAUAACUGUUAAUAAGUCCCUGUGUCUUUAUUUAACUAUUGGUGGGUCAAGAAAGUCCCACUAUAUUGUGGCAUUCCUGACUUGACACUCACUGGAGGAGAUCAAGGAAGAACUGGGGAAAUCUGAAUUAAGGUGAUUUCAUAAUAUCACAUAAAGCCAGCAACUUCAUCUAGACAGUGGGUUGACUAAGGAAGUCAAGCAAAGGGUGUAUUUUCAAUGUUUCUUUUUAAACUAGUUUUCAUUAUUAUACUAUAUAAAUGUUUAACACAGCAUGAAUCUGGAGGUCAGGGGACAACUUGAGGAAAUAGGCUCUCUAUGUCUACCAUGUGGGUCUCAGGUAUUGAAUCCAUGUUAUUAGGCCUAGUGGCAAGUGACUUAGCUCAUGGAGGCAUCUUCUCAGCCCUUCAAUAAUAAAGUUAUUUCAAAAUCAAAAGCCUAAGGAAAAAUAAAUGGAAGAAAUUGCUAACUUUCAUGUAAAUAUUUGAAAAAAAAAUCUUUCACCACAAGCAACCUGACCUCCUACCAGGCUCUUUAAAGGUAAGAAAUUUAAUAUUUAAAAUGGGAAUUAGGAGAUAUAAUUAUUGCGUUAUUUUCAACAUGACAUUUCCCCAACUUGGCAUCAUAUUGCUUGACUGUCACCAUGAGGAACAAGGAAAUAAGCAGGUUCAUACUGCUUCUUGCCAUCUCUCAUCUGUCUCCUGGGUCUUAGCACAUUUCUACGACUUUUAGUGUUGAUGUUUAUAACAUUAGCGACGUGUUAUAUACACCACACUCACAGUCUCACUUCUGUAUUGAUGGAGUUGAUCUUAUGACUAAUGCACUACCCAGCUCCCCCAUCCUCUGCCAUUUGUUCUGACAAAUCCCAUUGCCAACUGGAUUUUCUUGCCCAAUAGUAUGCUUGUUUGUAGAAAGACAAAAUACCACUUUUUCCUCACAAUUUUCAUUCAUGGGCAUGUCCACUUGUUGAUGGUCAGCUUUAAUUGUCAACUUGAUACCACCUAGAAUCGCCUGGGAAGAGAGUCUUGAGGAAUUGUCUACAUUGAGUUGGCCCAUGAACAUGUCUAUGGGGUGUUGUCUUAAGGUAAUUGAUGCGGGAAGACCCAGCAGACUGUGAGGGGAGCCAUACCCUAGGCAAGGGGUCUUGAACUGAAAUGAAUGAGGAAAUUGAGCUGAGCAUAAAUAAGCAAGUAAGCAUGUAAACAUUAAUUUCAUUGGCUCUUGACUGUAUGUAUGUAUGUAUGUAUGUAUGUAUGUAUGUAUGUAUGUAUGCAUGUAUGUAUGACUGUAUGUAUGAUGUGACUGUUUAAAAUUCCUGCCUUGACUUACCCCACAAUGAUAGUCUGUAGCCUGGAAUUGUGAGUCAAAACAAACCCUUGUCCUGUGAGUUGCUCUUCAUCAAAGUAUUUGAUCACAGCAACAGAAACCAAACUAGAACACUGCCUGAUGCCUGUCUCUUUGAAAGAACACAUCUGGUCAAUUUCUUGGUUCACAUUUUUUCAUCCUUUGGGACCUCAUGUAGCCCAUUACCCCCAAAUCAUAGGCUUCUAGAAAAAAACCCACAUGACCCUCAAGGCCGCAUUCCCGGGACGUUUCAGCCUGGUGUUCUCACUAAUUCCUCCUUUAGCCUCAAACUCACAUUCAUUAGAAUGUGGUGCUGAAUACUGAUGGUCUAGAGUCCAUGUCUUACUGCCACACUCAUCUCUCUUUCAGAAGCCAGGAGAUGGCUAAGUCAAUAAAGCACUUGAUGCAGAAGUCUGAGUACCCGAGUUCAGCCCCUAGAACUCACAUGAAAAUGUCAGAGUGCUGCUGACUGACUUUCCCUUCUCUGUCAUCUUGGCUGUGCCUCAUGGGACCCACAUAUCUGAUGGGUCGGUCACCAAAGAGAGCCCCCAGCUCAGGACUGCAGCCUGGAGCGCUGACCUAAAGGUCACUGUCUGGGUUGCUGAGCUCCUGGAUGAACUUGCUGCCUGCCUCUUCUGCAUCACUUUCCCUAAUUUCCGGAGCCAGGGAGGGAGAGAUGACAUCACCCAGGCUCCUCCAAACCUGGGCUCUCUUGGGUGUGGAACUGUCUCUGCACUGUCUCAGAUAUCUGUGCGGCUUAAACCCAAGCAGACACUGUCCUCCACAUAGGAGGCCCCCAGCAGUGCUUUAUGAGACCUAAAGAGCUUACUGUGUUUUCUUUCCCUCCAGACUAAUUCUUGUGUUCGUGGAGCUUCAGAGGAAGGUGCAGAGGCACAACCCCAAGUAGGUCGUACACACUGAGAAUCCUCUUCCCAUCCUCCUGUGAUCAUAACAUUCCAGUUUCCACUCAGAUUUUCUUCCUUAGCUUUCUGCUGCCAUAAGACAGCAGGAAGGAAGCAACUUUGCAGAGUUCAAUGCUGGACACACAAGAGGAGUGUGGGAUCCUCAGCUUGGUCAUGAAUCUCCACUAGGCAUUUUGUGACUGUAGCCUUGAAGGAGCACACUGCCAUCUUGUUCCCUCCAUAGACCAGGGACCCUGGGAUGAUAACCAGAGCCUCAAAGACAGAAGGAGACUUGGCAGACUCUCUUCCAUCAACCACAGGGCCUGAGGCUGGAAAUGGAGAUCUGGAGUGGCUCUCAAUGUCUUGGGUACUUCCUGCCUUCUUACUCAGCUCUAUACUGUAAACCCUUCCUCCUUGAUUUAGCGCUAUGAAGUAAACCCACCCCCUUUAUGUAAUAGACAUGUCUGAUAUUCUGGA